rnacentral:rRNA from 1 species
UACGUAGGGUCCGAGCGUUGUCCGGAAUUACUGGGCGUAAAGCGCGCGCAGGCGGUCCGCGAGGUGUCACGUGAAAGCCCCGGGCUCAACUCGGGAGGGUCGUGGCAAACCGGCGGACUUGAGGCCGGUAGAGGUGGGUGGAACUUCUGGUGGAGCGGUGAAAUGCGUUGAUAUCAGAAGGAACUCCGGUGGCGAAGGCGAACGUGCUGGACCUCUUCUGACGCUGAGGCGCGAAAGCUAGGGGAGCGAACGGG